AAUUCUCAACCUUGAAAGGCUUGUCUUUUCAAUGGCUUGGAUGUGAGGGUUUUGCUGGCUUCCUUCAGUGGAUGGUCUGCUCCCUUUAAAUGCAUUAGUGGGAUCCUUUGUGGACGGUCACUUGGUGUGAUAAUUAUCUACGCCGCUUGUACUGUGAAGCAAAACUUGUGGGAACCUGCUUAUAACUGUCUGUAAUGGACAACUUUUGAAC
rnacentral:misc_RNA from 1 species